rnacentral:rRNA from 1 species
UGAGGAAUUUUGCGCAAUGGGGGAAACCCUGACGCAGCGACGCCGUGUGCGGGAUGAAGGCCUUCGGGUUGUAAACCGCUGUUAACAGGGAAGAUGAUGACGGUACCUGUGGAGAAAGCCUCGGCUAACUACGUGCCAGCAGCCGCGGUAAGACGUAGGGGGCGAGCGUUGUCCGGAAUUACUGGGCGUAAAGGGCUUGUAGGCGGACAUAUAAGUUUUGGAGUAAAGGCUUGGGCUCAACCCAAGUAUUUUCCAGAAUACUGUAUGUCUUGAGGACGGAAGAGGAGAGUGGAAUUCCUGGUGUAGCGGUGAAAUGCGUAGAUAUCAGGAGGAACACCGGUGGCGAAGGCGACUCUCUGGUCCGGUUCUGACGCUGAGGAGCGAAAGCUAGGGUAGCGAACGGG